rnacentral:ncRNA from 1 species
GCCAAGGCCCCUCUUCCGGGCCUCCGGACGACGGUUCAGUACCCGGCACGCGACAAGACUGGCCACA